AGGGAUUUAGCUCAGCGGCAAAAGCACCUGCCUGGCAAGCACGAGGUCUAGUUCAAUCCCUG
rnacentral:tRNA from 1 species